AUGAACGCUAGCUACAGGCUUAACACAUGCAAGUCGAGGGGCAGCAUGGUCUUAGCUUGCUAAGACUGAUGGCGACCGGCGCAUGGGUGAGUAACACGUAUCCAACCUGCCGUCUACUCUUGGACAGCCUUCUGAAAGGAAGAUUAAUACAAGAUGGCAUCAUGAGUCCGCAUGUUCACAUGAUUAAAGGUAUUCCGGUAGACGAUGGGGAUGCGUUCCAUUAGAUAGUAGGCGGGGUAACGGCCCACCUAGUCUUCGAUGGAUAGGGGUUCUGAGAGGAAGGUCCCCCACAUUGGAACUGAGACACGGUCCAAACUCCUACGGGAGGCAGCAGUGAGGAAUAUUGGUCAAUGGGCGAGAGCCUGAACCAGCCAAGUAGCGUGAAGGAUGACUGCCCUAUGGGUUGUAAACUUCUUUUAUAAAGGAAUAAAGUCGGGUAUGGAUACCCGUUUGCAUGUACUUUAUGAAUAAGGAUCGGCUAACUCCGUGCCAGCAGCCGCGGUAAUACGGAGGAUCCGAGCGUUAUCCGGAUUUAUUGGGUUUAAAGGGAGCGUAGAUGGAUGUUUAAGUCAGUUGUGAAAGUUUGCGGCUCAACCGUAAAAUUGCAGUUGAUACUGGAUAUCUUGAGUGCAGUUGAGGCAGGCGGAAUUCGUGGUGUAGCGGUGAAAUGCUUAGAUAUCACGAAGAACUCCGAUUGCGAAGGCAGCCUGCUAAGCUGCAACUGACAUUGAGGCUCGAAAGUGUGGGUAUCAAACAGGAUUAGAUACCCUGGUAGUCCACACGGUAAACGAUGAAUACUCGCUGUUUGCGAUAUACUGCAAGCGGCCAAGCGAAAGCGUUAAGUAUUCCACCUGGGGAGUACGCCGGCAACGGUGAAACUCAAAGGAAUUGACGGGGGCCCGCACAAGCGGAGGAACAUGUGGUUUAAUUCGAUGAUACGCGAGGAACCUUACCCGGGCUUAAAUUGCAGAUGAAUUACGGUGAAAGCCGUAAGCCGCAAGGCAUCUGUGAAGGUGCUGCAUGGUUGUCGUCAGCUCGUGCCGUGAGGUGUCGGCUUAAGUGCCAUAACGAGCGCAACCCUUGUUGUCAGUUACUAACAGGUUCCGCUGAGGACUCUGACAAGACUGCCAUCGUAAGAUGUGAGGAAGGUGGGGAUGACGUCAAAUCAGCACGGCCCUUACGUCCGGGGCUACACACGUGUUACAAUGGGGGGUACAGAGGGCCGCUACCACGCGAGUGGAUGCCAAUCCCCAAAACCUCUCUCAGUUCGGACUGGAGUCUGCAACCCGACUCCACGAAGCUGGAUUCGCUAGUAAUCGCGCAUCAGCCACGGCGCGGUGAAUACGUUCCCGGGCCUUGUACACACCGCCCGUCAAGCCAUGGGAGCCGGGGGUACCUGAAGUGCGUAACCGCGAGGAGCGCCCUAGGGUAAAACUGGUGACUGGGGCU
rnacentral:rRNA from 1 species